UUGCUGUGAUGACAAUCUUAGGACACCUUUGGAUUAAUCAUGAAAAAAAGUAUGUUCUGAGCAGU
rnacentral:snoRNA from 1 species